CAGUGAUAAACUGGAGGAAGGUGGGGAUGACGUCAAGUCAUCAUGGCCCUUACGAGUAGGGCUACACACGUGCUACAAUGGCAUAUACAAAGAGAAGCGACCUCGCGAGAGCAAGCGGACCUCAUAAAGUAUGUCGUAGUCCGGAUUGGAGUCUGCAACUCGACUCCAUGAAGUCGGAAUCGCUAGUAAUCGUGGAUCAGAAUGCCACGGUGAAUACGUUCCCGGGCCUUGUACACACCGCCCGUCACACCAUGGGAGUGGGUUGCAAAAGAAGUAGGUAGCUUAACCUUCGGGAGGGCGCUUACCACUUUGUGAUUCAUGACUGGGGUGAAGUCGUAACAAGGUAACCGUAGGGGAACCUGCGGUUGGAUCACCUCCUUACCU
rnacentral:rRNA from 1 species